rnacentral:rRNA from 1 species
UAGGGAAACCUGGAUUAACCUCAUAGUAUUAUUGGAUGGCAUCAUUUGAUAUUAAAACUGAGGUGGUAUAGGAUGGGCAUGCGUCUGAUUAGUUAGUUGGCGGGGUAAUGGCCCACCCAAGACGAUGAUCAGUAGGGGUUCUGAGAGGAAGAUCCCCCACACUGGCACUGAGAUACGGGCCAGACUCCUACGGGAGGCAGCAGUAGGGAAUAUUGGUCAAUGGAUGCAAGUCUGAACCAGCCAUGCCGCGUGCAGGAAGAAGGCCUUCUGGGUUGUAAACUGCUUUUGCCAGGGGAUAAAAUUUCCAUGCGUGGAAAACUGAAGGUACCUGGUGAAUAAGCCACGGCUAACUACGUG